UACGUAGGGUGCGAGCGUUGUCCGGAAUUAUUGGGCGUAAAGAGCUCGUAGGCGGUCUGUCGCGUCGAUCGUGAAAACUUGGGGCUUAACCCUGAGCUUGCGGUCGAUACGGGCAUGACUGGAGUUCGGCAGGGGAGACUGGAAUUCCUGGUGUAGCGGUGAAAUGCGCAGAUAUCAGGAGGAACACCGGUGGCGAAGGCGGCUUGCUGGGCCUUACCUGACGCUGAGGAGCGAAGCGUGGGGGAGCGAACAGG
rnacentral:rRNA from 1 species